rfam:Schistosoma rodhaini strain Burundi genome assembly, scaffold: SROB_scaffold0000569
AUUCAGCUCACGAGUCCUAAAUAGGACGAAACGCGUGUCCUGGAU